rnacentral:rRNA from 1 species
UACGAAGGGGGCUAGCGCUGUUCGGAUUUACUGGGCGUAAAGCGCACGUAGGCGGAUUGUUAAGUCGGGGGUGAAAUCCUGGAGCUCAACUCCAGAAUUGCCUUCGAUACUGGCUUUCUAGAGGCUGGAAGAGGUUAGUGGAAUUCCCAGUGUAGAGGUGAAAUUCGUAGAUAUUGGGAAGAACACCAGUGGCGAAGGCGGCUAACUGGUCCAGAUCUGACGCUGAGGUGCGAAAGCGUGGGGAGCAAACAGG